GCAAUACCUUUCUUGGAUAAAACAACUUGAGAAUCUCCCACAUGUUCUACUAUAAAUAUUUGACUACUUAUGAGCAUUGCAAUAACUGCAGUUGACCCUCCUUUGCCCAAUUCAAAUGUUUCAACAUUUCAUAUUCCACAAGACAAAACUCGAUCAAGAAGAAAGACAACUCCUCUAGCUGGUAAUUAUAAUCAAGAAUAUAACUAUAUUAGUUUAGAGAUUAGUUUAACUUUAGUUUAACUUAUCAGCUUGAGCAGCCUUGAGAAAUCUUCUCAUAAAAAUA
rnacentral:misc_RNA from 1 species